CUGGUUGAUCCUGCCAGUAGUCAUAUGCUUGUCUCAAAGAUUAAGCCGUGCAUGUCUAAGUAUAAGCACUUGAACUGUGAAACUGCGAAUGGCUCAUUAAAUCAGUUAUCGUUUAUUUGAUUCUACCUUUACUACUUGGAUAACCGUGGUAAUUCUAGAGCUAAUACAUGCGAAAAGUCCCGACUUCUGGAAGGGAUGUAUUUAUUAGAUUCAAAACCAAUGCGGGUUCUGCCCGGUCAUUUGGUGAUUCAUAGUAACUGUUCGAAUCGCAGGGCCCCGCGCCGGCGAUGUUUCAUUCAAAUUUCUGCCCUAUCAACUGUCGAUGGUAAGGUGUUGGCUUACCAUUGUUACAACGGGUGACGGAGAAUUAGGGUUCGAUUCCGGAGAGGGAGCCUGAGAAACGGCUAACACAUCCAAGGAAGGCAGCAGGCGCGCAAAUUACCCAAUCCUGACUCAGGGAGGUAGUGACAAGAAAUAACAAUACAGGGCUUUUCUAAGUCUUGUAAUUUGAAUGAGUACAACUUAAAUCCUUUAACUUGAUUUCUUAUGAUAACACCUUGAAAAGAAAGGUCUAAUUUUUGCUAAGUAAACGAAAAACAUAAGCU
rnacentral:ncRNA from 2 species